rnacentral:rRNA from 1 species
UACGAAGGGUGCAAGCGUUAAUCGGAAUUACUGGGCGUAAAGGGUGCGUAGGCGGUUGUUUAAGUCUGACGUGAAAUCCCCGGGCUCAACCUGGGAAUUGCGUUGGAGACUGCAAGGCUGGAGUCUGGCAGAGGGGGGUAGAAUUCCACGUGUAGCAGUGAAAUGCGUAGAGAUGUGGAGGAACACCGAUGGCGAAGGCAGCCCCCUGGGUCAAGACUGACGCUCAUGCACGAAAGCGUGGGGAGCAAACAGG